CACUCCUGCGGGAGGCAGCAGUGGGGAAUUUUGGACAAUGGGCGAAAGCCUGAUCCAGCAAUGCCGCGUGUGUGAAGAAGGCCUUCGGGUUGUAAAGCACUUUUGUCCGGAAAGAAAUCCUUGGCUCUAAUACAGUCGGGGGAUGACGGUACCGGAAGAAUAAGCACCGGCUAACUACGUGCCAGCAGCCGCGGUAAUACGUAGGGUGCGAGCGUUAAUCGGAAUUACUGGGCGUAAAGCGUGCGCAGGCGGUUUGCUAAGACCGAUGUGAAAUCCCCGGGCUCAACCUGGGAACUGCAUUGGUGACUGGCAGGCUAGAGUAUGGCAGAGGGGGGUAGAAUUCCACGUGUAGCAGUGAAAUGCGUAGAGAUGUGGAGGAAUACCGAUGGCGAAGGCAGCCCCCUGGGCCAAUACUGACGCUCAUGCACGAAAGCGUGGGGAGCAAACAGGAUUAGAAACCCUUGUAGUCCC
rnacentral:rRNA from 1 species